GGUUUGUCGCGUGCGACUUUGGUCGUAUGAGGAAAGUCCGGGCAACACAGAGCACCAUACUUCUUAACGGGAAGUGGGCUGCGAGGUUCAAUAAGCGUUACAGAAAGCAGACCGCCGCAAUUUCGGUUGCGGCAAGGGUGAAACAGGCGAGGUAAGAGCUCACCGUUUCGGUGGCGACAUCGAAAGCUACGGCGCAUUAUGGGUUGAAAGACCAAGUAAACCGGCGUUACGAGGGUUGCUCGCCCCAGUCGGAGGGUAGGUCGAUAGAGACAAGUGGCGACAUUUGUUCGAGAUAAAUGACAAACACCUGCGUGCAGGUACAGAACCCGGCUUAUAGUUUUGCUGUU
rnacentral:RNase_P_RNA from 1 species